rnacentral:rRNA from 1 species
UACGAAGGGUCCAAGCGUUAUCCGGAUUUAUUGGGCGUAAAGAGCUUGUAGGCGGUUUGUCGCGUCUGCUGUGAAAAUCCGGGGCUCAACCCCGGACUUGCAGUGGGUACGGGCAGACUAGAGUGUGGUAGGGGAGACUGGAAUUCCUGGUGUAGCGGUGAAAUGCGCAGAUAUCAGGAGGAACACCGAUGGCGAAGGCAGGUCUCUGGGCCACUACUGACGCUGAGAAGCGAAAGCAUGGGGAGCGAACAGG